rnacentral:rRNA from 1 species
GACGAACGCUGGCGGCGUGCUUAAUACAUGCAAGUCAACUUGACUUUAGAUAGCAAUAUCGAAAAGUAGGGUGGCGCACGGGUGCGUAACGCGUAGGUAAUCUGCCCUGAGGUCUGACAUAACCCGUCGAAAGGCGGGCUAACAUCAGAUGAUAUAUAAUCACGACAUCGUGGAAAAUAUCAAAUCUUCGGAGCCUUGGGAUGAGCCUGCGUCUGAUUAGGUAGUUGGCGGAGUAAUAGCCCACCAAGCCUACGAUCAGUAGCUGGUCUGAGAGGAUGAUCAGCCACACUGGAACUGAGACACGGUCCAGACUCCUACGGGAGGCAGCAGUAAGGAAUAUUGCUCAAUGGGGAAACCCUGAAGCAGCAACGCCGCGUGAAGGAUGAAAUACUUUUGUAUGUAAACUUCUGUAAGAUGGGAAAAAUAUUCUCCUCGGGAGAAUUGAGUUGUACCAUCAGAGUAAGCCCCGGC